rnacentral:lncRNA from 1 species
GGGGGAUUUGGGUCCCAAUGGGUCCCAAUGGGGGGUUAUGGGUCCCAAUGUGGGUCAGGGGUCCCAUUGUUGGGUUGGACCCCUAUAAUAUGGGGUUUAUAUGGGGUGGGGGUCCCUGCUUUAACCCCCCAUUGCCCCCCAAUGGGGUCAUUUGGGGUCCCAAUGGGGGGAUUUGGGGUCUCAAUGGGUCCCAAUGGGGGGUUAUGGGUCCCAAUGGGUCCCAAUGGGGGGUUAUGGGUCCCAGUGGGUCCCAAUGGGGGUUGGGGGUCCCAAUGGGGGGAUUAGGGGUCCCAAUGGGUCCCAAUGGGGGGGUUGGGGGUCCCAAUGGGUCCCAAUGGGGGGAUUGGGGGUCCCAAUGGGGGGAUUUGGGGUCCCAAUGGGUCCCAAUGGGGGGAUUUGGGGUCUCAAUGGGGUCAUUUGGGGUCCCAAUGGGGUUUGGGGUCCCAAUGGGUCCCAAUGGGGGGUUGUGGGUCCCAUUGUUGUUGUGGACCCCUAUAAUAUGGGGUUUAUAUGGGGUGGGGGUCCCUACUUUGGGGUCCCAAUGGGGGGUUGGGGGUCCCAAUGGGGGGAUUUGGGGUCCCAAUGGGUCCCAAUGGGGGGUUGGGGGUCCCAGUGGGGUCUCAAUGGGUCUCAAUGGGGGGAUUUGGGGUCUCAAUGGGUCCCAAUGGGGGGAUUUGGGGUC